UCGGCCAAUGGUCAAGUCACUUUCUAGAAGGAUUAUUCUAACCGAGAUGCCUCCUAGCAAUGCCAGUAAAGAAACUCUCACAACUGGUGCAGUCUGCUGGAAAGGUCCGGAGCAUCCGCCCUGGGGAGGUGUAAGUAGGUGUCCUGUGACUAUUCGCCAGGAGCUGCCAGGAUUGGUGCAAACUUGCCUCGGUUGAAGGUUCCUGCGUGAUUUCUGGGGCAGGCGCCCACACCCUGGGCCUCUGAAGCAAGCAUGCUGAGCGUGGAGAGACCCUGGCCUUACCUCUGAGGGAAGGAGGACGCCCGGCCUGGAGAGUGAGUGGAGGCUCAAGUGCCAUCUCUCAGACUGGAGUGCAAUCCCAUGUAGGCCACUUCCCAAAGCGUGCCCUGUGGACAGGCGGCUGCAUCUCCCUGAGAUGAGGAAACCCAGGCUCAGAGAGAGGACAUGACUUGUUCCCAGUCAAGUGGCUGGCAAACGGCAAAGCUGGGGUCUGAAGCUGGGUCCGAGUGACUUCUCAGGCGGCUCCUACCAGGCCCCCAAUCCAGUCCAAUCCUGGGAGACAGAGAGGUUGUGACCUGCCUAACCAGUUGACCUACCAUGGUGACAUUGAGGCCUUCCCCUGGCUGGGCGCCUGAAUCCCAGGGGAAGGAAACUGAGCUCAGAGAGUCUGAGUAGUUCUAGAAGGUCACACGGAAGCCUAAUGCUCUGUGAUUCCAAACUCAUGCUUGGGACCUCGUCACCCGCCGGGAUGGGAAUUAGAGGCGGGCACUAGAGGUCCGGUGCCAGCCCCUGCAGAGCAUAAACGGCAUGCCAGCAGAGGGAAACAGGAGCUUCAUCAGGAACCUCAAAUCGGGGCGGAUGUUUGCAGAUAGGUGUGGCCUUCCCCACUCGGGAUCGUCCCUAGUUCUUCCCAUCGCCUUUCAUUACCAGGAUCCCGCCCUGGGAAGGGAGUCUCCCCGUUCACCCUCUAACUGCUCCCUCUCUGGCCUCCUGCUGCCUCCUGCUUCUGCUUUCGUGGUGAAAGCAGAACCAAAGGCUGGGGACAGAAGGGAAAGUGGACAGCAGGAUCAAACUCGCUCUUGCCCCCCCCCCCACCUCCCGCAGCCUGUACCUUUAAGGGUGUGGGCGGGGCAA